UACGUAGGGUGCGAGCGUUGUCCGGAAUUAUUGGGCGUAAAGGGCUCGUAGGCGGUUUGUCGCGUCGGGAGUGAAAACUCAGGGCUUAACCCUGAGCCUGCUUCCGAUACGGGCAGACUUGAGUUCGGCAGGGGAGACUGGAAUUCCUGGUGUAGCGGUGAAAUGCGCAGAUAUCAGGAGGAACACCGGUGGCGAAGGCGGGUCUCUGGGCCGAUACUGACGCUGAGGAGCGAAAGCGUGGGGAGCGAACAGG
rnacentral:rRNA from 1 species